rnacentral:misc_RNA from 1 species
AACGCACAUUGCACUCUCUGGUAUUCCGGAGAGUAUGCUUGUUUGAGUAUCAGUAAACACCUCAAAUCUCUUUUUUAUUAAAGAGAAUUGGACUUGAGCAAUCCCAACUCUUUGCAAAAAGGGGCGGGUUGCUUGGAAUGCAGGUGCAGCUGGACAUUCUUCUGAGCUAAAAGCAUAUUUAUUUAGUCCCGUCAAACGGAUUAUUACUUUUGCUCUAGCUAAUAUAAAGGUCGAAUGUGCUAUAUGCUGACUGAUGCAGGAUUACCAAGUUUUACUAGCUAAAACUUGUAAACUCGAUCUCAAAUCAAGUAAGACUACCCGCUGAACUUAA